CACAUGCAAGUCGAGCGGUAACAGAGAGUAGCUUGCUACUUUGCUGACGAGCGGCGGACGGGUGAGUAAUGCUUGGGAACAUGCCUUGAGGUGGGGGACAACAGUUGGAAACGACUGCUAAUACCGCAUAAUGUCUACGGACCAAAGGGGGCUUCGGCUCUCGCCUUUAGAUUGGCCCAAGUGGGAUUAGCUAGUUGGUGAGGUAAUGGCUCACCAAGGCAACGAUCCCUAGCUGGUUUGAGAGGAUGAUCAGCCACACUGGGACUGAGACACGGCCCAGACUCCUACGGGAGGCAGCAGUGGGGAAUAUUGCACAAUGGGCGCAAGCCUGAUGCAGCCAUGCCGCGUGUGUGAAGAAGGCCUUCGGGUUGUAAAGCACUUUCAGUCAGGAGGAAAGGUUAGUAGUUAAUACCUGCUAGCUGUGACGUUACUGACAGAAGAAGCACCGGCUAACUCCGUGCCAGCAGCCGCGGUAAUACGGAGGGUGCGAGCGUUAAUCGGAAUUACUGGGCGUAAAGCGUACGCAGGCGGUUUGUUAAGCGAGAUGUGAAAGCCCCGGGCUCAACCUGGGAACUGCAUUUCGAACUGGCAAACUAGAGUGUGAUAGAGGUGGUAGAAUUUCAGGUGUAGCGGUGAAAUGCGUAGAGAUCUGAAGGAAUACCGAUGGCGAAGGCAGCCACCUGGGUCAACACUGACGCUCAUGUACGAAAGCGUGGGGAGCAAACAGGAU
rnacentral:rRNA from 1 species